rnacentral:rRNA from 1 species
GGAAUCUUGCACAAUGGAGGAAACUCUGAUGCAGCGAUGCCGCGUGAGUGAAGAAGGCCUUUGGGUUGUAAAGCUCUUUUGUAGGGGAAGAUAAUGACUGUACCCUAAGAAUAAGGUCCGGCUAACUUCGUGCCAGCAGCCGCGGUAAUACGAAGGGACCUAGCGUAGUUCGGAAUUACUGGGCGUAAAGCGCGCGUAGGCCGUUGAGUUAGUUAAUUGUGAAAUCCCAAAGCUUAACUUUGGAACUGCAAUUAAAACUGCUCGACUAGAGUUUGAUAGAGGAAAGCGGAAUACAUAGUGUAGAGGUGAAAUUCGUAGAUAUUAUGUAGAACACCAGUUGCGAAGGCGGCUUUCUGGAUCAACACUGACGCUGAGGCGCGAAAGUAUGGGCAGCAAAGAGGAUUAGAUACCCUCGUAGUCCAUACCAUAAACGAUGAUUGCUAGAUGUUGGAAAUUUAUUUUCAGUAUCGCAGCUAACGCAUUAAGCAAUCCGCCUGGGGAGUACGACCGCAAGGUUAAAACUCAAAUGAAUUGACGG